rnacentral:rRNA from 1 species
UACGUAGGGGGCUAGCGUUGUCCGGAAUCAUUGGGCAUAAAGAGCGUGUAGGCGGUCCGGUAAGUUCGUUGUGAAAGUCAAGGGCUCAACCCUUGAAUGCCGGCGGAUACUGUCGGGCUAGAGUCCGGAAGAGGCAAGUGGAAUUCCCGGUGUAGCGGUGAAAUGCGCAGAUAUCGGGAGGAACACCUAUGGCGAAGGCAGCUUGCUGGGACGGUACUGACGCUAAGGCGCGAAAGCGUGGGGAGCGAACAGG